rnacentral:rRNA from 1 species
AACGAACGCUGGCGGCAGGCCUAACACAUGCAAGUCGAGCGAGGACUUCGGUCCUAGCGGCGGACGGGUGAGUAACGCGUGGGAACGUGCCCUUUGCUUCGGAAUAGCCCUGGGAAACUGGGAGUAAUACCGGAUGAGCCCUUUGGGGGAAAGAUUUAUCGGCGAAGGAUCGGCCCGCGUUGGAUUAGGUAGUUGGUGGGGUAAUGGCCUACCAAGCCGACGAUCCAUAGCUGGUUUGAGAGGAUGAUCAGCCACACUGGGACUGAGACACGGCCCAGACUCCUACGGGAGGCAGCAGUGGGGAAUCUUAGACAAUGGGGGAAACCCUGAUCGAGCCAUGCCGCGUGAGCGAUGAAGGCCUUAGGGUUGUAAAGCUCUUUCAGCUGGGAAGAUAAUGACGGUACUAGCAGAAGAAGCCCCGGCUAACUCCGUG